rnacentral:tRNA from 1 species
GGGCUCAUAGCUCAGUUGGCGAGAGCGCACGCCUGAUAAGCGUGAGGUCGGUGGUUCGAAUCCACCUGGGCCCA